UACGUAGGGGGCAAGCGUUGUCCGGAUUUAUUGGGCGUAAAGAGCGUGUAGGCGGUUUGGUAGGUCCGCUGUGAAAACUCGAGCUCAACCUCGAGACGCCGGUGGAAACCAUCAGACUAGAGUCCGGAAGAGGAGAGUGGAAUUCCUGGUGUAGCGGUGAAAUGCGCAGAUAUCAGGAGGAACACCCGUGCGGAAAGGCGGCUCUCGUGGGACUG
rnacentral:rRNA from 1 species